rnacentral:rRNA from 1 species
GGGGUGCUCGAGUGGCGAACGGGUGAGUAACACGUGAGUAACCUGCCCUUGACUUUGGGAUAACUUCAGGAAACUGGGGCUAAUACCGGAUAGGAGCUCCUGCUGCAUGGUGGGGGUUGGAAAGUUUCGGCGGUUGGGGAUGGACUCGCGGCUUAUCAGCUUGUUGGUGGGGUAGUGGCUUACCAAGGCUUUGACGGGUAGCCGGCCUGAGAGGGUGACCAGCCACAUUGGGACUGAGAUACGGCCCAG